rnacentral:lncRNA from 1 species
UUCUAAUAAUAACUGACUAGCUCCCUCUCCAGUCCAGUCCAGCGUCCUCGCCGCCGUCCGCCGUCACCGCCACCGCCGCCGCCCUGCCACGGCUGAGAUUCCCCUCCUUACGGCUCCCCUCUUGCACCCCGCGCAGUAUCCUCGCGCCGAGUACCACCAGACAGGUUCGCUGGAGGCAGCUAAUGGCGACGCCGGCGAGCUUCCACCACCUCGCCUCCUCCUCCUCCUCGCCGCCGCCGCCG